CCUACGGGUGGCAGCAGUGAGGAAUAUUGGUCAAUGGACGAGAGUCUGAACCAGCCAAGUAGCGUGAAGGAUGACUGCCCUAUGGGUUGUAAACUUCUUUUAUAGGGGAAUAAAACGUUCCACGUGUGGGAUUUUGUAUGUACCAUAUGAAUAAGGAUCGGCUAACUCCGUGCCAGCAGCCGCGGUAAUACGGAGGAUCCGAGCGUUAUCCGGCUUUAUUGGGGUGCAAGGGAGCGUAGGUGGCUUGUUAAGUCAGUUGUGAAAGUUUGCGGCUCACCCGUAAAAUUGCCGUUGAAACUGGCAGUCUUGAGUACAGUAGCGGUGGGCUGACUUCGUGGUGUAGCGGUUAAAUGCUUCGCUAUCACG
rnacentral:rRNA from 1 species